rnacentral:lncRNA from 1 species
CUGGGCAGCUGGGGUGCAGGCUCCUGGCACCAGCUCAGUGGCCUCUUCCUCUAAGGGCCCCACCCUGCCCUGGGGCAGGCCCACAGCUUCCCACACCCAGAGAGCUACAUGAGGUGGCUGUGUGUAACCUCUCCAGCCCAACAAGACUACGGGUGGUGAUGGACAUUCAUGCUAUGCUGUCCAAAGGGCCACUGUGGCUACUGGACAUUUGAGAUGAGGCUGCAAUGACUGAGGACCUGGAUUCUUAUGCAGUGUCCCUGAGCUUGUUGCCUGAGUGCCACCCAUAGUUGGGCACUGGAUGAGGCGUCACAGGAGGCAGGUUCAUGUGUCAGGGAGGUGGGACGCAUGGCUGCUAGUGUGUGUCCCCGGUGAGAACACAGGCUUUGUUAGUGCCACUUUCUGAAGGGACAGACCUGCUGCCCAUCCCGGUGCUAUGCUUAGAAUAAGUGCAGUGGAAAGAACAGCCCAAGGCCAAGGGUGCAGCUCAGGGGUAAAUGCCUGCCCAGCGUGGGCCUGGCCGAGGAUCAGUGCCCAGCAUCAGGGGGAAAAAUAAAAAGCAUCCACCAAAGUAUGACCCUAGAUGGAGAAUGAACAAAAUAAAGCUUUAUUUGAACAACCUUGUGGACCACUAGGAGAGCCAGAGACCCAAGUCAUUUCAUAACAGCGCCAUGGCUCUUCUGUGGCCCAGUGCGUGGCUCAACAUCACCAGUGGUAACGCAGCACUGCUGCUCAGUGUUGUGCGUACUGCAGCCUCUGCUACCGUGAGUCUCCUCGCGCUCCACCCACCCAAUUGCCCAGAGCUACCACAGCAAGGCCCUGGCAGGUAUGGGGCACCCAGACCCCAUGAACACCCAAACGGGGUGCACAGGGGCUCAGCCUCCACCUGCCCCAUGCUCUCAGUCUUGACUCUCAAUGAGCACUGAGUGACCUGACCCACAUCACAUUGUGAUCUUUGGGACUUAAGGCACAUUGAAAAGGGGGACCCCGGAACAGGGUGCAUAUCUUACACUGGGGCCUCUGGCUCUUCCGGCCCCCAGAACAGGAGCCCAGUUCAGACCAAGCUGCCCUGACAUUCACCUGAGUUUUCCCUGACUUUCUCCCCGAGAGGCAUCAAGCAGAAAGCAAAUCCUGCCAGGUCACAGCUCAAAGGAACAAAUCCACCCAGAAUAGCUUCAGAGCUCGGGGGUCAGGAAGGUCAGACAUGGGACACGGGCACGAAGUUCUCAGGACAGCAGACAGACAGGGGCACAGACAUCUGACCAGAUUUCCAGAUUUGCUAACAGGUGCUGGAGAGCGGGCCCUUCUCACUGAUGUAGGCAGAGAUUUCCCUGACUCUGCUAUAGUACGUGUGUGUGUGUGUGUGUGUGUGUGUGUGUGUGUGUGUGUACCCUCACCUCAGACAAAAGCCUCAGCUUUUGUCUCUGGAAACCUCUGAAGAAAUGGGGUUGCCCCAGCUCUGGGCUGCAGAUGCUGCUGAAGUCCAGGCCUGGAAACCGAGCCCAGGCAAGCAGCACAGAAACUACCGUGUGUGUUGGCACCCUGGCAGGUCAGACUCGGGCCCCAGGAAGGACGAGAGGCUCCAGGCUGGCCGUUCCACAUUGAGGGUGUGGAUUCUGGGCUGGGAUGUCCUGGGAGGCACGUGAGGCCUGGGCUCACUGGGAUGAGGUCUGAGCUUGGGUGGAGGCCGCAUCCUACUUGGUGGCUGCCCGCCUCUCUUUGUGCAUGUGGAAGGCACUCAGGAUUUCCUGGAUGACGCUGGGGUCCUCCAGGGUGGUGGGUGUCCCCCCAGGUCCUGGGCUCCACCUGUGA